rnacentral:rRNA from 1 species
UUCUAUUACUCCUACGGGAGGCAGCAGUGGGGAAUAUUGCACAAUGGAGGAAACUCUGAUGCAGCAACGCCGCGUGGAGGAUGACGCAUUUCGGUGUGUAAACUCCUUUUAUAAGGGAAGAUAAUGACGGUACCUUAUGAAUAAGCACCGGCUAACUCCGUGCCAGCAGCCGCGGUAAUACGGAGGGUGCAAGCGUUACUCGGAAUCACUGGGCGUAAAGGAUGCGUAGGCUGGAAAUCAAGUCGAGAGUGAAAUCCAACGGCUCAACCGUUGAACUGCUCUCGAAACUGGUUACCUAGAAUAUGGGAGAGGUAGAUGGAAUUGGUGGUG